CAGCCGCCGCGGUAAUACCGGCGGCCCGAGUGGCGGUCACUAUUAUUGGGCUUAAAGCGUCCGUAGCCGGGUUGGGAAGUCCUCCGGGGAAUCUGGCCGCUUUACGGUCAGAAUGCCGGAGGAUACUCCCAGCCUAGGGAGCGGGAGAGGCCGAGGGGAUUCCCGGGGUAGGGGUGGAAUCCUAUAAUCCCGGGAGGACCACCUGUGGCGAAGGCGCUCGGCUGGAACGCGUCCGACGGUGAGGGACGAAGGCCAGGGGAGCAAACCGGAUUAGAUACCCGGGUAGUCCUGGCUGUAAACGAUGCGGACGUUGUGUCGGACAAGCUAUGAGCUUGUCCGGUGCCGGAGGGAAACCGUUAAGUCCGCCGCCUGGGGAGUACGGCCGCAAGGCUGAAACUUAAAGGAAUUGGCGGG
rnacentral:rRNA from 1 species